UCCUGUUUAUACCUGUCUUCACAAAGGCAAAGUUUGUUAAGACAACUCCAGAGUCUAGACAUCCGUUAGUUAGAGGGAGUUAGUGGUGUUUCUGUGAUGAGGAAAGCAUUGACUUGAACUUUGAACUUUCCAGUAAGAAUGGAAAACGUUCUAAACUAGAAGUUACUAUGAUUACUAGAAUCUACCAGUAAGUCUGGAUGGGCAAGGCCCACUUUAUUUCCAAUGAAAUUUUAUCUUCAUAAAAAACCCCAGUAAGUCUAGUACUCUAGUAUCAACCAGAGUGAUUAAGGAAGAAGAAUAAAAUAGAGAACGGGGUGAAGGAAUACUUGUUCAUGAUGGUAAGCGAACAUGAGACGAGUGGUAAUGAUUUUAUUGAAAUAAAUCAUACCAUGGCAGAGUGCAUGACUUAAGCCUUCAACUGGUUCAAGUCUACUGAGUACUGGCCCUUUAAUUGGCUCAAGUCCUACAUCACUCUGCCUAUGCAAAUGUCACUCUUGGCACAUUGAGUCGAGCCCAAAAUAUUAUCUACUUGUUAUGUUUCUUGACGAUCUCUUCAAGGGUAGACAUUUUGUCGACAAGUGUCUAUCUUUUGUAUUGCAAUAGAAUCCUCCAAGUCAACCAUGUACAAGGGUAUUCUCUCUCCCAGUCUACAUCUGCACUAUUGGCACGCCUAGACUAUAAAUGAAUUAUUACUAAUUAGCUUAAUUAAUUCUAGGCUUUUAGCCACUUUUUCCUCAAGAGAAGAAAGAAAUCCCGAUCUCCUCUCUCCUAGCCACCAUUUGUUUACAUAACAUUCACUAAGACCUAAGUAUUGUUUUUAACUGAUAAUUUAUGCAAUUCUAUUUUAGUAUUUUUAAUGAAGUUUAAAUUCUUAUUUUACAGAAGAUUCAGGUACACGUCGGAUACAAUUGGCAUUAGCAAAGAAGAUAAAAAAUGGUGCUCGCAAAAUUGUUUUGGACAAAGCAGAAGAAGCACGCUUGGCAGCAUUUUCUGCAUACGAAUCACUUGGUAUUCAGGUUCCUCAAUUUUCUGUGAGCUCUCUACCGAGUAAGGCUAAGGUACCUGAAAUGGAAGUUGAUAUUUUGAAAUCAUGUACGCAAGGAGCUGUGUUGGCCAUGGAAAAAGAUGAGCAUUUGCAUGUUUCGAUAAGACCCAGCUCUGAACAUAUGAAAGAUGUCCAUGAUAAUCUUAUUUCUAUGAAUUGUAGAAAUGACAACGCAGAAAAAGUUUCUGGCCCUAAAGCAAAUUCUUCUUCAGAAUCAAUUUCUUCUCAAUCAUUUAGAAAUAAUCUCAAUAAUUCUGAAUAUGGGGUAGCAGCCAUCUCUACUGUUCCUCUAACCAGAGAAUAUGAAAUUCUCGAUACAAACCCAACAAUUGUUGGUGUCAAUGAGGAUCAAAAUUACGACAUUCAAGGAGGAAAUGAUGGGGAAAGUGCAUACAAUAACAACAGUUUUCCAACUUGUGAUAAGGGUCCUAUCAAUGCUAGUAGUAUUCCUGGAGGAUUUGAUUCAUUUAUGCAUCAAUGGGAAUUAGUACAAGAAUUUUAUUUCGAUAUUCAUUUUAGCAAAAAAAAUAAUACUACUACGUUUUUUAAUAUUUUUGGUCUGGCCAUUUGUUGGAAGGAUUCCCCUAUCUAUUAUAUUAAUCUAUCCAGAUAUUUGAUAUCUUCUUGGAAAAUAAACACAUCAGGAGAUUCAGCAGAGAAUUCUAUUUGUUCCGAAUCUAAAUCCCCUUGUAAGAGUGUUUCGUGGGAAAUUUCUAAGAAAAGAUGGAGUAGGAUUGCUAAUGUUUUGGGGAAGAAUGGUGUGAAAAAAAUCACCUGGAAUUUGAAGUCCCAAAUGCAUGUCUUACAAAAUCCUGGAAUUUCUGUUCAGAGGCUUGGAAGUCGGUUUAGAAAUGAGCACAGAGCACACAGUGAUUUCAGAGUGAUAGAUGGCACACUUUUUUUGCCUUCCAUAAUUCUGAAUGACGGAAUUGAUGUAUGCCUUAUUGUAUGGAUCCUUUGGCCAGACGAGGAGAGUGGUUCCUGUUCCAAAUUAGACAAAGUAACACAUAUUUUUUAGUCUUACCUUUGAUGCUGAAUGAUUAAUUAAUUAAUUAUUAUGUUUGUGAUUUUAAAGGUAGUUAAAAAGUGUCUAUCAGUUGAAACUGCCUCUGCAGCUGUUCGGGAUGGAAGGUGGAGAAAUCAGAUGCGAAAAGCUGCUCAUAAUGGUUGUUGUCUCAGGGUUUCUCAAACACGUGCUUUGACUCUUGUGUUAUGGAAAUUGCUGGUUUCCGAGUGUCUCAUGGAACCUUUUCUCAGAGUUGAAAGUCCAUUGGUAUGUUUUUUAAUGUUCUGGUGCUAUUCUAGUGUUUCUUUUAUACAACAGUAAAGAGUAACAUUUCUAGUUUUUUUUUUGCUCUCAAAGUGUUUUGUGCAUUUCUAGGUUAAAGUGCUAGCUGACAUGGAAAUUUGGGGUAUUGGUGUUGAUGUGGAUGGAUGUCUUCAUGCUCGCCAUAUCUUGGUGAAAAAACUUAAAGAACUUGAGAAAGCUGCAUUCGAACUUGCUGGAUUUUCUUUCUCUCUUUAUUCAACUGCAGACAUUGCAAAUGUACUCUAUACGCGCUUGAAACUGCCCAUUCCCGACACUCGCAACAAAGGAAAGCAGCAUCCAAGUACUAAUAAACAUUCUCUAGAUCUACUGAGGUAUCAAAAUUUCUAAUUUUAUUGAAAUUGAUUUAUCUUAUCAUUUUUAAAAUUUAAAUGAGAUCAAGACUUCAAACAGUUCAAAGUUUCAAUAAUCCAGAGAGUUAUAGGAAGAUCUGCUUUCACCCCUGGAGAUAGCUAUUCUUCAAUAGUUCGAUGUUGGAAAACCAAUCUCCUGCUGCAAAGUAUCUAGUUCACUCUAGUAUACAGAGCUUUGUAGGAAAGUGUCGGUGGUUAAAGUUUUAAACCCAUCUCCCUUAUAAUAUUUUUUUUCUUUAUUUUUCUAUCUUCAGUGUAAUCAAGCACAAUCCUUCAUUUAAUGAAAAAAUUUAACUCCAUCAAAAAAAGAAGUUUGAAACUUUAUUUUUGCAUAUCUAGGGGUUCCAAUUGUUUGACACUCUGACUGCCUACUUAUAUAUCUCAAUAAUGUUCCUUCCACAAGGACACCCCCUAUCUAAGGUGGUUUGGUUACACAUGCUUAUACAAUUCUCCAUUAUAUUGUGGAGAAUUAGAUGGGGCUACCUAACCACCUUUGCCAAACUUCAAUAAUGGAGAGUCAAUAUCCAACCCACUUGCUUACUAUCCAAGUAACCUAUUUUUCAACCAGGAAAGUUCUCAUAGAUAGAGUAGAAGUGCUAGGAUACUCCCUAAUCCCUAUGGAAAAUCUCCAAUUCCCCCAUGCCAACCACCGUCCACACAGACCUUAGAAUUGAAGACUUGAUAGAGACCUGUCAAAAACUCACCCAUCAUUCCACCUGUUGGGGAUUGUACUGGAACAUCCUAGGUAGCCUGUCAUAGGUAGCCUAGAUUGAAGAACCACACCUUGAAGCCACCAAAAGUGAUUACCAAGGAAAUUAUCAGGGACUCAAGCCUAGGCAAGAGCUGUACAGGAUAUCAAACUCCGGGCCAGAAUUACAAUUUAUGUGCAAGUGAGAGGUUUCAAUUCUGAGGCAAUUUCCUUCGGUAUUUUACCACUAGGGAUAAUGCUAGUAGUAUCUGAGUCGACGAUGGGCACGCCCAUCUCUCAAAUUUUUAUGUAAUUCCGAGUUAUAUCUCCAUUAUUAAUGGAUUUUAACUUCAUCAAAAAAGUUCAGUAUGCUAUUUUUUUUACUGUUUUACAGGCAAUAGUCACUCAUCAGUCACCACUAAAUAUUAGUCAUGGUGAUUGAUAGUGGAGAAAAUUAAUAGUGAUUGGAAUCUUGAUUGAAGGACAGUAAUGCCUUCUUCAAUGGAAACAAGAUGAAUUGCUAAAACAACUGGAAUCCACUAAGUAGGAAGGCGAAGGUCGAUCAGAUCUUUAGUAAAAAUCAUCAAAAGCUGAUCCACUUUUGGGUCCACUAGGUAUCUAUACUCACAAAUGUAGCUAGUGCAUAAUUCUACAUUGUGAGUUUAAAGGUGAUGUAGCCCAUUACAAUGAUCUACAAGGUCAUUGGCUCGAGUUAGCUCGAGCCAUGGCUCAGUCUCUUUAAUUGGACUGACCAACUCCCAAUGUGGAAUUUCCAAUCUUAGACAUUGGGAGUAUAAAUAGGAGUGGACUCAAAGAGGAGGGCAGAAUAUAUUUUCCUAAAAGUGAAUUACACUAAUUUUCUCUCUCUCCUACUUUUCUCUAGACAACUUGCGAUUCUUGCUUAUUUUCUUCAUUAGAUCAGGUGGACUCCUAUCUGAUUUUCCUUAUUCUACUAGUGGAUUCUAGAGGAACUAUUGGUGGAUUCCAAUAGAUCUCUCCUUGCUGAAUCUGAAGUGCUGGAUUUUAGAUUCUCUACUAUUCUCGGCAACUUGAGGUACUUUUACAUUCCAUUGAUUAAUUGCUCCAUUAAAAAACUCAAAGGUUAAGCAUAUUGGCUUGAGCUAACUCGAGCCACUCUUGGGUGAGUUGGCUCUGUCUUUGAUCUCCUUCAGUUCUCUGGGCAUUAGUCUUAUACUGAUUGCAGUAAUUGUACUUAUAUUGAUUUAAUUUUUUAUAAAGAUGCUCUGCAUAAGAUAUCAAACCCACCUGUUUUUCAAUUUUACAUGUUCCAGAGUCAUAUUACUACUACUUCCAGUGGAAAGCCUGAAUCGCAUUUUCUGGAAAAUCCUAAAAUUCUCUAGCCCACCAUAAAUCACCCAGAUAAUAAAUACAUUAUGGAAGUUCGUCAAAAAUUAAUACAUCACUGUCCAAUAUUGGGCUUGUUAUGGAAUGCAAUUGGCAUCCUACCUAUGCUGGUGCAUAUGGACAGAAAGAAACCAAAGAUGGAAUCAGCACACCCUCAGGCCACCGGAAAUAGCACUCAAGCGAUCAAGCCUGAACGCUUCUCCUACAAACCUGAAUGCUUCAAGAAGAGAUGCUGUCAUCCCUUGGAGACCAGCUCAAUGUAAAUGUGUUAGGCCAACCUUCUGAGGCAGAUAGCUUAAUGAUACUUUAGGCAACAUGCCCAAGUGGAAAGUGUUAAGAUGAGCCAUUGUGUUCCUUCCUAUGUUUUUAUUUAUUUGCUUUUCUCCACUGUAAUCGAGGCAUUGCCCCUCAUUUAUAAUUUAAAUGAAAAAGUUAAUCGCUUCAAAAAAAAAUGCUCUGCAUGAUUGAGUGGUCACUUCAGUUUGUUGACGUAAUGUUCAAACUACAAGUUUGUAAUUUCCUUGUUCCAAGUUCCAACUUUGAAUAAAGUACAUAGAUGUUUUGUUUUUUAGGCCUAAUGUUAGAUGGUUUAUACUUUAUAAUAUAAUGCAAAAAAUAUGCAUCUUAAAAAAAGGUUAAUGACUGUCAUUUCAUUUUUUUCUUGCAGAGAUGAACACCCCAUUAUUCCCGUGAUCAAAGAGCACAGGACAUUGUCAAAACUCUUAAACAGUACACUGGGCUCUAUUUGUACAAAGUCCCAGUUGUGUUUGAAGUCCCAAAAGUAUAUAAUAAAGGGACAUUGGCUUCAAACUUCAACUGCUACUGGGCGUCUCUCUAUGGAAGAACCAAAUCUUCAGGUUUUUUACUUCGUUUACAGUUUAUUAAUAAAACAUAAAAAUCUAGGGUAUAGAAAAAGUUUUUCCAAACUAAGUGAUAUCAGUUGAUCCUAUAGACCAGUGUUUUAGGGAAAGCUGCUGCUGAGUCUGUCACCUAUUGGAGAUAGCUACACUUCAAAGUUGGGAGACCAACCUCCUGUGGCAAAGAUACUCUACAGUCUCUACUGCUAUUAUACAUAGUAGCUAUAUUAGGAAAAAGUUGAUGAGUUUUAACUCAUCUUCCAUAUAUAUUUUUUUCUUUUUCUAUCUCCUCUAUAAUUAGGGCACUAUCCUGUAUAAUGGAAAUAAAAUUCACCCAAAAAUAAAUAAAUAAAAUUCUAAAAAUGGUUUUAUAUGAUUCCUGUAGAGUGUGGAGCAUCCAGUAGAGUUAACCACCCACAAUUUGGUAAAAGAUCCUUCUGGUACAUCAGAAACAGAUUUCCAUCAGAUAAAUGCUCGUAAUUUUUUUGUCCCGACACAGGUUUGGUUUCUACUCUUGAAUAUUUGCUUAUGUUUUUAUGAUGAAUUUCUCGGCUUCUCUUAUUAAUUUAGUGUUUAUUACAUCUUAAUUUGCAUAUCAGGAAAACUGGGUUCUCAUAACAGCUGACUAUUCACAAAUUGAACUUCGUCUAAUGGCUCAUUUCUCCAAAGAUGCUUCAUUGAUUGAACUCUUAAGUAGACCUGAUGGUGAUGUAUUUACCAUGUUAGCAGCAAAAUGGACAGGGAAGCUAGAGUCCACUGUAAAAUCAAAAGAAAGAGAGCAAACAAAAAGACUAGUCUAUGGUAUCCUUUAUGGAAUGGGAGCCAACACCCUUGCCGAGCAACUAGACUGUAAUCCAGAUGAAGCUGGAAAAAAAAUUCAAAGCUUUAAGGAUUCAUUUUCCGGGGUUUCUGUGUGGCUCCAAGAUGCAGUCGCAUUAUGCCGUGGCAAGGGGUAUUUUUAUAUUUAGAUUCAUAUUUUAUUUUGCACUUUAUUUAGCUGUUCACAGUGAAGUUUACUUUUUUACUUUGUGUCCAAUUUUUUUCGUAUACGAUAAAGUUUUUUUAUAUUUUACUGGCCUUUGGAAACAUCAAAUGUGUGUAAUUCAAUCUACACUUAAUUUUCAUACUAAAUUAUCCGUACACCCAAAUUUAUGUCCAGAAAUUCAUCUGCUAAGAAUUCAUAUAAAAGUCACAAAAUAAAAACUUAGCUACACCAAAGUGCUAUUCUUUUAGAUGAUUAAAGGUUAUCAUCUCCCUGUGGACUUCUUUUAUUUGAUCUAAUCAAAUAUAUUGAGAUCUUACCAACUAUAAGUCUCUGAUCACAGUGCCUUCCUUGUGUUCUCCAUGCAAUCAGACAAUCUGUUGCGUCUUUCCUUUCAUAUUGAUAAAUGGCCAACUCAAUAACUUGCCUACCAAUGUAUUUCCUAGUCAACUGUUUUUAUUGAAGGUUGUCAUCAAUGAUCAGCCUACUUGAGUACACUGACCAGGGUGGUGGUAUUGGGGUGACCCCAUCAGAUUAGUUUUCAUACCAUAAUUGAACUUUAUGUUAUCUUGUUUCGAAUUUCAAGUGUAAUUAUUAUCUUCUAUUCGUUUUGAGUGUAGAUAUGUAGAAACUCUAUUGGGAAGAAAGCGUUUCCUGUCAAAGAUAAAGUUUGGAGACCACAAAGAAAAGGCCAAGGCUCAAAGACAAGCUGUAAAUUCAAUUUGUCAGGUACUAAUUAUGCUUGUACCCUAAUGGCUAUUACUAUUUUUAUUUAGUAUAUGCGAAUAAUUUCCUGUUUCUUUUCAUAAAAUGAUUAUUUUAUGCAGGGUUCUGCUGCUGAUAUAAUUAAGAUUGCAAUGAUAAAUAUCCAUUCUGUAGUUGUUGGAGGCUCUGCGAGUGGAAAUAGUGUUGGAAUGCAAUAUUCUAUGCUUAAAGAUCAAUGCCGAAUUCUUCUUCAGGUAAAUACACCGCAAUAUGUCAUUACUCCAGAGCAUAAAACUUGGUAUAUUUUUUAUUUUUAUUUUUCAUAUAAAAUAUAUUUUUUUAAUCACGUAAUCUAUAUCAUUAGACAAAUCAGUAGAGAAAUGUGAUUUUUAUCAUAAAAUCCUAAAAUAUAAUCUUCUAUUUGGGCAAAUCAUGUUGGAUGCUCACCUGGAUGACUGGAUCUGCCUAAGAUCUGCCAAUAACAUAAAAUAUUUUAUGUGGUCUUUAAAAGACAGGGAGCAUACAUGCAUAUGCCGAAGCAGACCAAGCGAUCGAUCCACAAAAAUUCAAUCUCGCGAGAAUAGUCAAAGAUAGUAAGGAUGGUACUAAAUCAGAAUGAAGAUAUUAGAUUAGGAGGUGUCACUGAGGCGUUACAGAAAUUCACAAAGGAAUCUAGUUACUGGGGAUUACUGAUUAUGGCACAUAUGGUUGGAAAGAAAUUAGAGACUGAAACAACAUAUACUCACUUAGGAGUUAGGCCCCCAGAACAAGUCACCAAAGAAGCCAUCAAGGGUUUGUCUGUUUGUUUCUUCAUGCUACCUCCUACAAGAACAACCAAUCUGUAGUUGAAUUUAAUCUGCAAAAAACAUAGAAGUCUACUCUUCUGAGGAAACACUCUAUAGGCAUUUAGCAAUAUAGGAAGGCUGCAUAGAAUUAGAUACUAUGUGUUUACCCUUAUUCCCAUAUCAAUUCUAAUUGAUAUUAUAGCUAAUACUCCAAUUGGCUGUUUUUCGUUACUGUUGAAAAAUAAAAACGCUGCAACCUGGUAUAUUAGGUUUAACAUGACACGAGGUUAUUCAUGUGGCCGUCUAGGUGUGUCUAGCAUCUUCAUGCGCUAGAAUUGUCUAAACCAUUCUAAAUUAAAAAAAAAAACUACCCCAUAUUUUCCACUCCUCUUUAUUUCCAGCCGCCUACAUCCCUCCUUCUGCCCAAAUACUUCCGGCGACGACCCCUUUCUCCGACAAGCUUUUAGGAGCCUAGAAAAAGAUAUUAUUUUAUACAUUCUAUUAAAAUUUUGAAAAUACAGGUAUUUGUGUAAUUUUUUUAAGUGCAUGGUAUUUUUUGCAAAAUACUCAUAUUUUUUAUGCAACGCCUAGGCAUCUCCUAGAUAUCCCAGGUGUUUAUGUGACCAACUCCAUUGCAUGAACGCUUACUUGACUGAAAAACCUGGACAUGACGUCAUGUGCAGGUACAUGAUGAACUGCUAUUGGAAGUAAACCCUUCUUUAGUGAAGGAGGCUGCAUCACUGUUGCAAGUUACCAUGGAAGGCGCUGCUUCCCUUUUAGGUAAUUCGAUCAGACUGACUACUUGCUUAAUUUUUUUUAUUUAUAGUAUAUUUAAAUUAAAAAAAAUUCAAUUGUUGCAAUUUUCUUUUCAGUGCCUCUUCAUGUGAAAAUUAAAGUAGGGAGAACAUGGGGUUCCGUGGAGUCUUUUGAUCCCAAUUUAUAGAAAAGCAUCUUUUGAUGUCUUUCGAUUCUUUAUGUACGUUAUGUUAUAUGAUAGAAUUUUUUAUUUUCAAUGACUGAUUUUUCAUGCUGUUUUAUAUUUUUUUCAAUCAAGCUUCCAUUUCUUGUAGGUGCAGUAACGUGUGUUUCUUUUAUUUAUUUCUUCCAACAUUUCGGUUAUCCAGAAUGGUCUAAAUUUCUGUAGCUUUUCUAUUCCAAUUUCUCCACAGGUACAUAAAUGGUCAGGUGAACAUCUUUGGAAUAAUUUAAACUAAAUAUCUAAACAUGCAAAAAAAUAUUUGUUAAAUAGUAAAAUAUCAAAAUUCAUCACUGUUUAUAUUUGUGUAGAUUAAGCUGUAGACUGUUGUACUCAUACUCCAUUCUUCUUUGUAGAUGCUUGAAAAUAAUGCUACCGACCUAUCUAAACCUAUUAUUUAAGCAUCCAGUGAAAGGACUGCAUGGGUAUGACAAGCAUUAGAGGUUUGGUCGUUUGGAGCUAUUAUAUGAAAUUCUUGGGUUUCUACUGUAGCCAGAACUAUAACCAUUUUAUUCAAAUUAACAAAACCAUAAGUUAAUUCAUUCAACACCCUAGGUUAUUAAGCAUGAAUAUCUUGACUAUAAAAGGCGGCACGGCACGACUUGUCUUUCUUUGAAGUAUUUUUGUCUGAAAAAAGCACUACGUCGCUUCAAUCCUAGGAAGGUCAACAUUUCUUAUAUUCUUAGUUUAAUCUAUAUAAUAGGCUUCAAAAUUUAGUGUUAAUCAAUUUAAUGGAAAUGAAUUUUGGCAUGUGUUCUUUUGUAAUUGAGGUUGUAUAUAUAGUUAAGAUUUUUUUUUUUGCAAACAAGAACCAACAAUUGUAAAUGUAAAUGCUGCAUUUAUUUUAUUCAAAUUAUUUGAUUUUAUCAAAUAUAAUUGUAUCUAUUUCAGUAACAUCACCACUUUGGUCAUUUUUUUAAUUUUUAAACUCAUCAUAUUCCUAAUUUUUCUAAAAAUAGGGAUGUGUCAUGUUUCCGUGGAUAUUACUUAUUAAGGGUGUAUACGGAUUCGGGUUACUCCGGGCCCAGAUCCUGUCCCUGUUUAUAAAGACAGGGUUUGGGUUUAAAAUUUAGAUCCACUUAAAAAAAUACACCUGGAUCCGUUAAUGGGGUCGGAUCUAGAUCUUGUGAGUAUUAUAUUUCGGAAAAUAUCAAAUAUGAUUGAAGUUGCAUCCUAAAACAUAAAUAUUUACUCAUCAUUUAUUUGCCAUGGUCCUCAAGUUUAUAGAUCAACCAUCUUUAUAUUUUUUUUUGAAUAAAAUUCAAAAAAGCUCACUUUAAAUGAGCUUAAAAGUGAAUGUAUGGAGAUGUGUAAUAAAUGAUUAAAAAACAAUAUAAUAAAUUGACGGUCUGCAACAAUAUCCAACGGCUAGAUAAAGUGAACGUUUUUUAGCUCACCUUGUUGAGGAAAAACAUUGUAUUUUUUUACCCAAAUUCUAAAUACAUUUUGAUAAUUUAAUUUUGUUUUUUACGACCCAUUUAGAUAUGAGACCCGUCCAACCCGGAUAUUUAAUUGGAGAAGGGUUUGAGUCCUCUACUUAAAUAUAAUUACCCUGACGCUAGACCUAAGUUUAAGGGAAACUCGGAUAAGGUCCUGAUUUAACUGUUUUUGUUCCUCCUAAGUCAUUUUAUCUUCUACAUCUUUUUAAUCCCACACCUUCAAUAUCUUUUAGACUGUUAGCUCAAAAAGUCACAGUUAUUGUUAAAAUAUCUAAAGGUUCGGAUAGGAUUCUAAUCUAUAAAUUAAAAGUGUUUUAAUUAAAUUUUAACUACGAUAUAAUUGAUAAUAUAUUAUUUUAUUUUGGUAUAUUAAUCGUUCUAUGUAUUUUAAAAAGUUAUUGAAGGUUGGUAGAAUUUUUUAUCACAAAUCACAUUAUUUACAAAUCAGGGUAAAAUUUCCGAAGGUUCACUCUGGAACCGUGGACUCAAAGAUAAUAACUAGGUGCACUCGACUUAUUUAAGCUAAAUGUCCAACGGAUAAUUAGUUGCACUAGUUUGUAGUUUUACUUAAAUUUAAAUUGUACAAACCUUCUUUUCUCCCAUGCAAGGUGCAUCUAUCGAAGUCAGCUUCCGUCUUUACUAAUGGUAUGGAUCGUCUUGUUUUUUAUAAAAAGCCAUGAUCAAAUGUUGAUCGUAAAGUAAGCUUUCUUUUUUAAACUUCCAACGUAAAAUAAUCAAUUCUCCCGUGCCCUCUCAUCACCGCUAAACGUAGAUUUUUUUAAAUUCGUGUGCCAUGUCAUCUACAACAAUUAGAACAAACGACAUGUCAUUGAGUUGAUUGACAUCUGAUGUCGAGAUGAUGACAUCGGAUUGUUACAGCUGAUUAACUUGUAAAAGCGACACAACGUUAAUUAACUUGCGUAGUCACAACGACAAGACGUUGAAAAAGCUAAAACCUAUAAACAAUAAGACAACACCUAAUUAAUAAAUAAAAAAUGAAAAUCGAAUCGCCCAGAUGUCAUCCCACGGCCAUUUGUGGAUGAACCAACGCUUUCAAGUCUGCGGACCAUCGCCGAACGGCAGACGAAGAAUGGACUUGGAGAAGAAACAGGUUGUCU
rnacentral:lncRNA from 1 species